UACGUAGGGUGCAAGCGUUGUCCGGAAUUAUUGGGCGUAAAGAGCUCGUAGGCGGUUUGUCGCGUCUGCCGUGAAAGUCCGGGGCUCAACUCCGGAUCUGCGGUGGGUACGGGCAGACUAGAGUGAUGUAGGGGAGACUGGAAUUCCUGGUGUAGCGGUGAAAUGCGCAGAUAUCAGGAGGAACACCGGUGGCGAAGGCGGUUCUCUGGGCAUUACCUGACGCUGAGACGCGAAAGCGUGGGGAGCAAACAGG
rnacentral:rRNA from 1 species